UUUUUCCUCAUCUUUGCCAACCACCAUAUAUACUUUUAAUUAUCUGCUUCAAUUUUCUCUUCUGUAAUCAUGUCAUUAAACGAAUUUUUAUUACACUCUAUUUACAAUCUGACAACGACCACAAUUUAAUCUUAACCGUCAGACUUAAUUUUUCUUGAAAAAAUAGACAUUGACUCAGGUAUACGUGUAUGGCACCUCUUUUUGUAAUUAAAAAAAGUGUUAAAAUACAGUAAUUGUUUUUAACUACUUGAGUUACAAGUUCCUUUUAUUGAUUAUAUUUUAACUCAAGCUUAAUUAAGG
rnacentral:lncRNA from 1 species